rnacentral:rRNA from 1 species
UACGUAGGGGGCAAGCGUUGUCCGGAAUUAUUGGGCGUAAAGCGCGUGUAGGCGGCUCGGUAAGUCUGCUGUGAAAGUCCAGGGCUCAACCCUGGAAUGCCGGUGGAUACUGUCGAGCUCGAGUCCGGAAGAGGCGAGUGGAAUUCCUGGUGUAGCGGUGAAAUGCGUAGAUAUCAGGAGGAACACCGGUGGUGUAGACGGCUUUCUGGACCGUAACUGACGCUGAGACACGAAAGCGUGGGUAGCAAACAGG